AAACAACUGUUGGGAAUAAUACACUUGCCCAUAUUUACCCAGGGCUUACUGUAUUCUGCAUUUACAAACAAACUCGCAACACUCCUCCUACAAAAUCCCCAACUUGGUACGAUGAAUAUCUCCAAAUGUAUAAUCAAUGCAAUGAUAAACAUACUGAUACUUCUCUAUAAGUUUAUUAUACUGGUCAGAUGCCUAGUCUUAUGCUGUGGGAAUAGUGGCCGAAGAAAUAAUGAAAGACCUGCAGGAUUGAUUAGCAUUCCUGAAUAUACCAUGGCAGAUGGAUGGUGGUCUGACCAGGGCUUCUUAAUUAAGGUAUGUCUAGAACCCCUGAAUACAUCUGGUAUCAUUUAAAUGUGAAUGACUGAGAGGUCAUUCAAAGAGGGGAAAUGUAAGAGUCAAUAUAGAGUUAAUUUUGCUUUUGAUAUCUACGUGACAAACUAUGUCUGUUAUUAACCACAUUCUUGUUGUGCAGCUGUUUGCGGGCAUAACAUAUAUCUGUUUCUCGGUACAGGUGUCAAUCAUGUGUUACAUCUUUUUAUUUUUGCUUACGACUCAUAUUCCACUGCAUGCAAACAAGCACCUAAAGAUUGUAUAAAUACUUCUGCCUUAAUAAAGCACAUUGAGAACUUGCAAAGUAUUUUCUAGUGUCAUGUCUGUUUCUUGCAAGUCUCUCCCAUCAUAUGGUGCAGUGAUCAGAGGUCCGAGAACCGAGGACAGGUUAUGAGUCC